rnacentral:rRNA from 1 species
AGUGAACGCUGGCGGUAUGCCUAACACAUGCAAGUCGAACGGCAGCACAGUAAGAGCUUGCCCUUACGGUUGGCGAGUGGCGGACGGGUGAGGAAUACAUCGGAAUCUACUUUUUCUUGGGGGACAACGUAGGGACACUUACGCUAAUACCGCAUAUGACCUACGGGUGAAAGCAGUGGUUCUUCGGACCUUUCGCGAUUGAAUGAGCCGAUGUCGGAUUAGCUAGUUGGGUUGGUAAAGGCCCACCAAGGCAACGAUCCGUAGCUGGUCUGAGAGGAUGAUCGGCCACACUGGAACUGAGACACGGUCCAGACUCCUACGGGAGGCAGCAGUGGGGAAUAUUGGGCAAUGGGCGAAAGCCUGAUCCAGCAAUGCCGCGUGAGUGAAGAAGGCCUUCGGAUUGUAAAGCCCUUUUAUUAGGAAAGAAAAAAAGCAGAUUAAACCACCGCUGUUCUGACGGUACCCAAAGAGUAAGCACCGGCUAACUACGUG